GAUGAACGCUAGCUACAGGCUUAACACAUGCAAGUCCACGGGCAGCAUUUUAGUUUGCUUGCAAACUGAAGAUGGCGACCGGCGCACGGGUGAGUAACACGUAUCCAACCUACCGAUAACUCCGGAAUAGCCUUUCGAAAGAAAGAUUAAUACCGGAUAGCAUACGAAUAUCGCAUGAUAUUUUUAUUAAAGAAUUUCGGUUAUCGAUGGGGAUGCGUUCCAUUAGUUUGUUGGCGGGGUAACGGCCCACCAAGACUACGAUGGAUAGGGGUUCUGAGAGGAAGGUCCCCCACAUUGGAACUGAGACACGGUCCAAACUCCUACGGGAGGCAGCAGUGAGGAAUAUUGGUCAAUGGGCGAGAGCCUGAACCAGCCAAGUAGCGUGAAGGAUGAAGGCUCUAUGGGUCGUAAACUUCUUUUAUAUGGGAAUAAAGUUUUCCACGUGUGGAAUUUUGUAUGUACCAUAUGAAUAAGGAUCGGCUAACUCCGUGCCAGCAGCCGCGGUAAUACGGAGGAUCCGAGCGUUAUCCGGAUUUAUUGGGUUUAAAGGGAGCGUAGGUGGAUUGUUAAGUCAGUUGUGAAAGUUUGCGGCUCAACCGUAAAAUUGCAGUUGAAACUGGCAGUCUUGAGUACAGUAGAGGUGGGCGGAAUUCGUGGUGUAGCGGUGAAAUGCUUAGAUAUCACGAAGAACUCCGAUUGCGAAGGCAGCUCACUAGACUGUCACUGACACUGAUGCUCGAAAGUGUGGGUAUCAAACAGGAUUAGAUACCCUGGUAGUCCACACAGUAAACGAUGAAUACUCGCUGUGUGCGAUAUACAGUAAGCGGCCAAGCGAAAGCAUUAAGUAUUCCACCUGGGGAGUACGCCGGCAACGGUGAAACUCAAAGGAAUUGACGGGGGCCCGCACAAGCGGAGGAACAUGUGGUUUAAUUCGAUGAUACGCGAGGAACCUUACCCGGGCUUAAAUUGCAACAGAAUAUAUUGGAAACAGUAUAGCCGUAAGGCUGUUGUGAAGGUGCUGCAUGGUUGUCGUCAGCUCGUGCCGUGAGGUGUCGGCUUAAGUGCCAUAACGAGCGCAACCCUUAUCUUUAGUUACUAACAGGUUAUGCUGAGGACUCUAGAGAGACUGCCGUCGUAAGAUGUGAGGAAGGUGGGGAUGACGUCAAAUCAGCACGGCCCUUACGUCCGGGGCUACACACGUGUUACAAUGGGGGGUACAGAAGGCGGCUACCUGGUGACAGGAUGCUAAUCCCAAAAACCUCUCUCAGUUCGGAUCGAAGUCUGCAACCCGACUUCGUGAAGCUGGAUUCGCUAGUAAUCGCGCAUCAGCCAUGGCGCGGUGAAUACGUUCCCGGGCCUUGUACACACCGCCCGUCAAGCCAUGAAAGCCGGGGGUACCUGAAGUACGUAACCGCAAGGAGCGUCCUAGGGUAAAA
rnacentral:rRNA from 1 species